AGGAUGAUAUUUAAUAUUCUAAAAAUGGUUGAAAUUAUCUAGGAACAGAGAACAGAAUAAGAGAUCCUGAAUCUGAGUUUUGAAUAAUUCCAGGAUUCAAGAUCAGGUAGAAGUGUUAGUGAGUUAGAUUGAAAAGGUGUUGUUAGAGAAUAAGAAAGAUAACUAGGAACAUGUGUUGUCAGUUACCUAGAAAAAGUCUGUUGGAGUUACCAACAGUUUUGAAUGAGAAUGAGAGAUCAGAUGAAGGUGAGGACCAAUAAAUGACCAUUAGAUCUAACGACCUGGACGUUAUGGAUGGCCUUGGAGAAGCCAUUCAGUGAAGUUAGUGAGGGAGGGUGAAGCUAGACAGGAGUAAGCAGGCGAGGAGGAAAUGAAGAUGGUGAGUAGAGACUAAUUCAAGAAAUUUAAUUAUGAAAAGGAAGGAGGGUAGGUAGCUACAGAUAAAGUGACAAUUAAGAGAAUAUUAGCUUUUUUUAAUGAUAGGAGAGAUUUGAUAACAUUACAAUGGUAGAAGGAAGUAGUAAUUUAAAAGAUGCUUACACAAUAAAAAAGUAAGUGCAAAGUAUUAGAGUAAGUAACAGUAUGGAUGAAAACAAUGGAGAUCCAGAAUCAAGGAAUGUCAAAAGCUGGAUAAUUCUUUUCUAUUGUGUAACAAGGGCUAAAAGGACUUACGGUUUUUUUCUCCCACUUGCAAUCUUAGGGGUCAUAACUUUCACCCUGCUUACUAAGAAAGUCAAGCAGAUAUAUGAUGAUUUUUUUCUGGGUCUUCUAUGGAAACCUGAGAUUCCAACUUUAUUCUGAUUUGGCAACCUCUCUCUUCCGAAGUGCUGAAAUCAAACUUUGUCCAAAAGCUAUGGCUCUAAUCUUCCACACUUAUAUAAAGGCCAUUCUCCAAUAUCUUCAUACCUUUUAUUUAUAGAUAAUGUUUCUUGGAGACUUGACACAGAUGGCUCUCUCUUCAUUUCUCAACUAAUCUACUACUUCAAAGAAUAUUCUUGGUGUUAUCAUUUGGAGGAGAUUUUUCGAAAGGUUCAACGUUCGUUCGAAAUCCCAAAAGUAUUGACCCAGAUGCCCACGAUUGAAAGAGUAUCCAUGACACGUUAUUUCUACCUCUUCCCUGGGAAUUAAAACUCAAGAAGCAUCUCAGGAAAAUAGAGGAAUUAUGGUUACUAUUUUAGGUCACAUUUUGUGAAAGAAUAUUUUCAUGUCAAAUUUCCCAACUGCUCACCCUCCACAAAUACCAGGUUAAAGUCACUCUUAUACUGUUGCUGAGUUACAGAAGAUGUUACUAUUGGGGGAAACUGGAUGAAGGGUACACAGGAUCUCUGUGCAUUUCCCCCCUCCUAUUGUAUAUUCCUUUAUUUGAUGAUGGAAACUCAGCAGUGACAGAUGCUGCAUACCGAUGACUCCUCCAUGCCAGUUGGUCAGAAUCGUGUAAAGGUCAUUUGUGAAUCAAAACAAGUACAUUACCCAAGAGAAUAUAUACACCCACCUACUUAUGCUUUCCACAUAUUAUUGCAUUAACCACGGAACCCACUUUAAGGAAAGAAGGUGUGGGAAUGGACAUAUGAUAACGAAAUCUACAAUUUCUAACAUAUACUGCAGUACAUAAAGGCUGCCUGUCUAAAAGAAUGCUGAAAGGUCCUUUUGAAGGUGCAGCAGAGGUGCCAGUUUGGAUAUCAUGCUCUGUAUAAAUGGCUCACCAAUCUCCAGGAUACAGGUAUAUUCUAAACCCAUAACCAUUUCCUGAUGCUAUGUCCCUAAUAGAUAAUAUACUUGAGUCUUGGCAUUAUGAUUACAAAUAGGAGAAGCACCAUUUCCCACACUCCUAAUGACUCAAUCGGACAGUUUAUGCUCCCUGUUCUUAUGACUCAAAGAACUUUGGUUUUAGAAGUCUCCAGAAAAGAAAUGCUUCUCCCAGAGCACCUAGAAAAGAAUCUCAUUAAAUUUUAGCUAUGAAUGCUGCCUUUUGGGGGCACUUGUGUCAGGACACUAUCAGACAAGAAAUGGAGUCACCUUCCAGGUAUGGGUAAAUGACUCUGAUCUUCAUAAGAUAAGGCUGAUAUUAUUCAUUUGGUGGGGGAAGGGGGGAGGUGCAGUGGGUGGGGGCAGUGAAAAUACACUUGUUAUCCAGGGAAUCCACUAGGUAUAUCUUGAUAUUCCUUCCUUAAUUUUGAUAACAUAAAAAUGUACAGCUGCCAGAACCAUAAAAGGAUAUUGGUGAAGAGGAUCUUGGACCCCUUAGUGAUGUGGAUCUGGGUCAUGCCACCAGAUAACCCUUCCACUAGCAGGAUGCAAGACAAAAUUGGAAGGAAGAUAGAAAGAAGAACGGAAAGAUGAAUAUCAAUUGUAGCCAUUGGAGCAGUUUCUACAGCUGGAAGUUUUACCUCCUCCCACUUUUAUCAUCGUACCUAUGGGCUUGGUGAUCAUGCAAUGGCCGGAGAGAAUUAGAUGAAGCGCCAUGCAUUUGGCAAAGCACAGUCAUCGAGGCCUUGUCCCGCGUUGCCGUGAGCGCUUACUCCAGGAGCAAGCACGCGGGAGUGCGUCUGGCUGGCAAACACCUGCUAAGGCCCAGCAUUCCCCUUCCAGACUCUCCUCAAACAGAAAGGGAAAGGAAGAGCUUAAUUAAAGAGUCCAAAUGAAGACAAUUUCUUCAAGUGUAAAAUACGAAUUUUGAACUCAAUGACAAUAAAAGCCCUGUUCAGCUUUGCGAGUCUAUGUUUCCAAGAUUAUCUCAAGAAAUCAUUAAAAGCAAACUGAUGGAUCUGCAACACUAAGCCCUCUUCUUCAUUAGGGCUGGUUGAGUUGCAAAAGGCAUUUGUUUUAGGAGAGAAGGGAGGUGCAGAAUAACUUGAAAAACUUCUUUAUUUUCUCCAGGUAUAUUUUUCAAACUUUACUUGCAAUUUGAGGUAUGAGACCAGAUUUCCCUUAGAGCUAUUUGGGUGUUUGGUGCAACACUGACUAACUAGUCUUCCUGAGAUCUGAAUAAAGUAAGAGACCUACCUAAUUGCCUGACUUAUUGAUACUUAAUAACCAAGUUACUAUGAGGUAAUUUUUCCUGUAGGGGGAAGAGUAAAAGCUAGUUCUAUUUGCUACUACUUAAUGAGUGCUUAUAUAAACUGCUACUGUUUAAAUAUUUUAUAGGGAUUAACUCAAUUUAAUCUUCAGAACAACCUAGUGAGAUAGAGACUAUCAUUAUUACCAUUUUACAUAUGAGAAAAAGGUAACUUCCCCAAGAUGACAUAGGUAGAAGUGGGGAAGGAGCCAGACACUACUUAUCGGUUCAUUGCUUGAGUUUUAACCGAAAGUUCUGACAGAGGAUCUGUUAUCUUUUCUAUGGCCCAGUAUCUGGUAAAGUGCAGAUCAUUUCAGUGAAUGCAGUCUUCUGCCUAGUUAUCGCCUGUAGUAUUCAGCAGAAGACAAACUUGCCUGGUGAUUUUCUUCCAGAAACAGUAAUAAUUUCUCAUCUACAAAUAAGAAUCACUGGUGUACUCCUGGCCAUGGAGAUAAGAAAAUGUGCAUCUUAGCCUCCAUCACUUACAGUAAAAGAUAAACCAAUGGCCAAAGAUGUAAGAAGAAUAACUUUGAGGAUUUUCAGUAAUGGACAUUCCACUGCCUUUAGUUUGGAACUCUUUAAGAUGCUGGUGUAUUGUCCACACUCAUCUGACUCUACUUCCCUCGCCCUUUGUGGAACUUGACUGUCUGUACUCCUGGAGAAAUAAAUCAAACUUUAACAGCAGGUGGAAUAGCAGACCUCAGACUUUCCCAUCAACUUCCAGAGGUGCUGAGUCAUUAUUGGCUCACUCCCAGACACUCUUCAUUUGUUCUGGCCAUGAAUUAAUUGACUACCUCCUCUUCGGCACUGAUCUAAAAUCCAUGCCAUCUGCAAGCAUAUACAAUGAGGAAAAGACAGUCUCUACACUAAAAGUUUUGGGAAAACUGGACAGCUACAUGCAAAAAAAUGAAAUUGGAUUACUGUCUUAUACCACAUGCAAAAAAGGAAACUCAGAAAGGAUCCAGACCUAAAUAUGAUACCUGAAACCACAAAACUCCAAGAAGAAAAUGUAUGCAGUGAACUCCUGAACGUCAGCAUUGGUGUGGUUUCUGGAUAUGUGUCCCUUGGUGAGGGAAACAAAAGCAAAAGUAAACAAGUGGGACUACGUCAAGCUAAAUGCUUCUGCACAGCAAAGGAUAACCAUCCACAAUAUAAAAAGGCAACCUACUGAAUGGGAGAAGAUAUUUUCAAAUUAUAUAUCCUUUAAGGGGCUAAUAUAUAAAAUAUAUAAAGAAUGCUAUGCUCAUGCAAUUCAAUACCAAAUAAAAGCAAAUAAUCUUAUUAAAAAUGGACAGAGGAACUAAAUAGACAUUUUUCCAAAGAAGACAUACAGAGGACCAACAGAUCCUGGAAAAGAUGCUCAAU